rnacentral:rRNA from 1 species
UAAUACGAAGGGGGCUAGCGUUGUUCGGAAUUACUGGGCGUAAAGGGCGCGUAGGCGGCUUCGAUAGUCAGGCGUGAAAGGCCUGGGCUCAACCCAGGAACUGCGCUUGAUACUGUGAGGCUAGAGUGUGGGAGAGGAUGGUGGAAUUCCCAGUGUAGAGGUGAAAUUCGUAGAUAUUGGGAAGAACACCGGUGGCGAAGGCGACCAUCUGGACCACUACUGACGCUGAGGCGCGAAAGCGUGGGGAGCAAACAGG